rnacentral:rRNA from 1 species
CGGCCGCAAGGUUAAAACUCAAAUGAAUUGACGGGGGCCCGCACAAGCGGUGGAGCAUGUGGUUUAAUUCGAUGCAACGCGAAGAACCUUACCAGGUCUUGACAUCCUCGGAACUAUCCAGAGAUGGAUGGGUGCCUUCGGGAACCGAGAGACAGGUGCUGCAUGGCUGUCGUCAGCUCGUGUCGUGAGAUGUUGGGUUAAGUCCCGUAACGAGCGCAACCCUUGUCCUUAGUUGCCAGCACGUAAUGGUGGGAACUCUAAGGAGACUGCCGGUGACAAACCGGAGGAAGGUGGGGACGACGUCAAGUCAUCAUGGCCCUUACGACCUGGGCUACACACGUGCUACAAUGGAACGCACAGAGGGCAGCAAAAGCGCGAGCUGGAGCCAAUCCCACAAAACGUUUCGUAGUCCGGAUCGGAGUCUGCAACUCGACUCCGUGAAGUCGGAAUCGCUAGUAAUCGUGGAUCAGAAUGCCACGGUGAAUACGUUCCCGGGCCUUGUACACACCGCCCGUCACACCAUGGGAGUGGGUUGCUCCAGAAGUGGUUAGCCUAACCUUCGGGGGGGCGAUCACCACGGAGUGGUUCAUGACUGGGGUGAAGUCGUAACAAGGUA